AUAAUGUACAGAAAUUUGGGAACCGGAAAGAACGUCUGUGAAAACAGCAGCACGGGGUCCAGGCAACGGCCCCCACUUUCCUGAGUUCUGAACCCGGCUCUGUGGCUUCUCAGGUGAGGAAACGCAGGAAAGAGACCUGCCUGUGGUCCCACCAUCACGUCGCGACAGAGCCGCAGCUGGAAUUCAGUUUCCAGGUGAGGACUCGGAGGCACCAGAAGUGACUUUCUCUGCUGGCUGGCUGUGGACCUUUGAAGAGAGGAGCAUGAAGAGAGAAACACCAUCUCAAUAAUGUAAUAAAUAAAAACCC
rnacentral:lncRNA from 1 species